UUUUUCUUUUUUCUUUUUUCGUCGCUUCUCGUGUCCGAGUCGGAUUGACCUCCGGUCGAUUGUCCAUCUUUCUUGGCCCGCUAUCCCGCACGGAAACUGGUUUUCUUUCCCACAUAUCCAGGGACCUCGCCGGUCACUUAGGGGGAAACAGGAAGAGUGGGGCACCAGAACUGACCAGUUCCCGGAUGCGUCCCCGUCCUUUGGUCAGUUUACAAUUUCGACCCGUGAUCGACGGUGCCUCGUUCCUCAGACUCUUCGAGCUUCGAGGACGAACCGAAAAAUGGAACAAUCAAGGUGUCAUGUAUCCUUUAUCCCGUGACUGGAUCCGAUGCGACAAAAGCGACGGUGCGUUCCCUAAAACGUGACCUGAGAUGGGAUCGAUCCUCGAUCACGGCAGGCAGAGACACGUCGAUCAUCGUUCGCGGGAGGAUCUGAUCGGGGAAGGGCGAUACAGAGAAGGAAACAAGAGGAAACUACUUUGACCACAGGAUGCGAGUCGAUCUUCGAUAAUUCUAUUUCGAUGGUGUUUCCUCGCAGAGGCCCGGCAGACGCCAACCUCACGCUGCACUUCGAUAUAUGUAUAUAAUCUACGACCCUUCUUUCCUUCCAUCGAUGCACAUAAUUUGUCAGAGGAAUAUUUCGAAUAUUCUUCGUGCAUCCGUCUUUACGCCUGGACGAGCAAGAGAGAUAAAUUACAGAGGCGAAUGAAAAAAGUUCGAAGAAACGGUCGUUUAAAGGGCCAUGGAGGCUUCCGGCAGACUGCAGCGCGGACGAUAUAUUCCACGAAGCCUAGUUAAUCCUAUCUUUCGGAUCUGAAUUCGGGGUUUCUGUUAUACACCGCGGUUGGCUCGGUCCGCGCGAUCAAAGUGAAUUAAAUCGCGGAGGGCGCGGUGUACGCGACUCUCUCCUUUCCCUCUAGCUCUCCCUCGUCACCCUCCAAAAAUAUUCCAAAGGCGGGGAACGUGCUCGUUACGACCGAUUGAAGUUACCGCGAUCAAGACGCGUGCAGAAGGUGAGAGCGAGGAGAUUACGUUUCGCCGUGAAAAUGCCUCGUUUCCGAAUGCCUGUAAUAAAACUAACGAUCCUAUUUUAUCGGAUACGUUAACAGCUUCGUAAAUCGACGUUCCCGGCCAUUUGGAAGUUAACGUUAUAU
rnacentral:misc_RNA from 1 species